CAUGUAUCCCAUAUAAAAUUUUUAAAAAAGUUUUAAAAAUAAAAUAGUAAAUACUCCUUUUAUUUUAAAAAAAAAUAAAAUAGUAAAUAUUCCUUUUAUUUUAUCUGUCGCUAAAAUCAUAACACUUAGUUCUCCUAGUGUCAUUUUCUUUUUUAUUAUCUGUUGUAUGUUGUGAUAUUUUAAAAAAUAAAUUAAGUUUUAAUUUUUUAAUAGUAUAUAUAUGUUUUUUAUGUUUAGAAAGUAUAAAAAUAGAAGAGUUAGACUGGUAUACUUUUCGAAACACGGAACUUUCGUACUUCCAAGUCAUUUUUUACAUUGAAAAUUUUGAAUCAACGAUCGGCUCCGUUAGACUUGAUUUAUAGUAUUUGAAGUGCAUAGAAAAUAAAUUUCACAAUUUUUCGAUACUUAUUUGCCUAGUGAUCGAAGGGGCUCAAAAUUAAUAAUUUUAAUAAUCGUGGUGAGCUGUUUGCAAGUUUAAUGGUAUAGAAAUAUUCAAAUCACGUGAAAUUUUGAUAAAUUUUUUUUAUACUAUAUAAAACAAGAUCAAUAUUUUUGAUAUAAAAUUUUAGUGUCAUAUCAUUAUAUAUUGUGAGAUUUUUAUUUUCAGUCGUUUAUUUUGAGACCUUUUGAUCACAUGAUAAAUGAUAUUGAAAAAUUGUGAAAUUUAUUUUUUAGUUAUUUUAAAUAUUCUAAAUCAGAUCUAACAGAACCGAUCGUCGAUUCGAAUAUACCAACAUCAAAAAUAAUUUAAAAGUACGAAAAACUCCAUACUUCUAAAAGCAUAUCAACCUAACUC
rnacentral:lncRNA from 1 species